UCUGUGGGGCUGAGAGGGAGGCUUAAAGAUUCAUCAUGAUUUCUCCUUAUAGUCCUAUACAACAUGCAUACGUGUUACGUUGUGACAGCAGUAACUGAGGGGAAUGGGUAGAGAUGUACAAAAAGAACAUUUUCUGGUCCUGAAGCUAUGGUGCUCGAGCUUCACACCAAGUUGUUUCUCUGGCUCAUGUUAAAGUCUUAAGACAAAAGAGAAUAAUCUAAUCAGAAGAGACCCGUGGUUCAGUCGAGAGUAUAUGAAUGUCUAAGCUUCUUUGCAUAACAUCAUUGAGCUUUCAAAGAAUCUCUUUUCCUUUUCAUCUCAAUAUUAAAAAUAUAAACCAA